AUGCAAAUCACCUGGAUCUUGUUAAAAUACAGUCUUUUUUUUUUCCAGAUGGUCUGGGAUGGGGCCCUAGAUUCUGCACUUCUAACAAGUCAACAGGUGAUGCUGUC
rnacentral:miRNA from 1 species